GCCCUAGGGAGUUCCUGAGUAGCACGGGACACGUGAAACCCCGUGUGAAUCUGCGCAGACCACUGCGUAAGGCUAAAUACUAACUAGCGACCGAUAGUGAACAAGUACCGUGAGGGAAAGGUGAAAAGUACCCCUGUGAGGGGAGUGAAAUAGAACCUGAAACCAUGUGCCUACAAGGUGUAAGAGCUGGGAUUUAUCCUGGUGAUUGCGUGCCUUUUGCUUAAUGAGUCUACGAGUUAGUGUCUGUGGCAAGCUUAAGUCCUUCUGGGACGCAGGCGUAGCGAAAGCAAGUCCGAAUAGGGCGAUUUAGUUGCAGGCGCUAGACCCGAAGCGGAGGCGACCUACCCAUGGCCAGGUUGAAGCGACAGUAAAAUGUCGUGGAGGACCGAACCGAUGUGUGUUGAAAAACGCUCGGAUGAGCUGUGGGUCGGAGUGAAAGGCUAUUCAAGCCCCGUGAUAGCUGGUUCUCCUCGAAAUGCAUUUAGGUGCAGCGUUGCGUGUUGAUGAGUGGGGGUAGAGCACUGAAAGGGCUAGGGGGCAUACCCGCCUACCAACCCCUAUCAAACUCCGAAUACCAUUCAAUAGAGCGCAGCAGUGAGACAGUGGGGGAUAAGCUUCAUUGUCGAAAGGGAAACAGCCCAGAUCAGCAGCUAAGGUGCCAAAAUCAUGCUAAGUGGAAAGGAGGUGGGGUUUCUUAGACAGUGAGGAUGUUGGCUUAGAAGCAGCCACCAUUUAAAAAAUGCGUAAUAGCUUACUCAUCGAGAGACCCUGCGCCGAAAAUGAUUGGCGAUAAGCAUGAUACCGAAGCUCUGGAUGUCAGAAUCCUGCGGGAAUCUGGCGUGGUAGAGGAGCAUUGUCAUCUGCAUUGAAGCGGAAAGGCGACUGACCGUGGAGUGAUGACAAGAGAGUAUGUAGACAUGAGUAACGAUAAGCCGGGUGAAAUCCCCGGCCGCCGUAAACCCAAGGUUUCCCGGGCAACGUUUUUCGUCCCGGGGUUAGUCGGGACCUAACCCGAGGCCGAUAGGCGUAGGGGAUGGUAAGCUGAUUAAUAUUUCAGCACCUGCAAAGUGAAGGGGACGCUUACUGGAUUGCAACCAGGUUAUUGAAUUCCGAGGGGAGGCCUUGUGCCGAACCGUAUUGCAUGAAUGUGAGCCAAGAAAAGCCGACACGACUAAAAGCAGCCCGUACCGUAAACCGACACAGGUGGGUGGGUAGAGUAUACCAAGGCGCAAGAGUGAAACCUGGUCAAGGAACUCGGCAAAAUAGCCCCGUAACUUCGGAAGAAGGGGUGCCCCCUCUGGGGGGCCGCAGUGAAAUGGCCCAACCGACUGUUUAGCAAAAACACAGCAUUGUGCUAAGGCGUAAGCCGACGUAUACGAUGUGACACGUGACCAAUGCCAAAAGAUUACGGUAAGGUGUUAGCCCUCGAGGCAAAGCUCCGAGCCCAAGUCCUGGUGAAUGUCGGCCGUAACUAUAACGGUCCUAAGGUAGCGAAAUUCCUUGUCGGGUAAGUUCCGACCUGCACGAAUCGUGCAACGAGUUGACCACUGUCUCGACCAGGAGCUCAGUGAAAUUGUAGUGCCGGUGAAGAUGCCGGCUACCCGCAGAAGGACGGAAAGACCCUAUAGACCUUAACUGUAAGCUGUUACUGGUUAUUCGAUUUUAAUGCUCAGCAUAAGUGGGAGACUUUGAAGGGUGCGUUUAGGCGCAUCUGGAGUCGCUAGUGAGAUACCACCCUUUGACAUUGGAUAAUCUAACCCCGAGCCGUCACCCGGCCGGGGGACCGUGGCAGCCGGUCAGUUUUACUGGGGCGGUAUCCUCCUAAAGAGUAACGGAGGAGCGCGAAGGUUGGUUCAGCACGGUCUGCAACCGUGUGUCGAGUGUAAUGGCACAAACCAGCCUAACUGUGAGACCCACAAGUCGAGCAGAUACGAAAGUAGGCCAUAGUGAUCCGGCGGUAG
rnacentral:rRNA from 1 species